GGGUGAAUAGCUCAGCUGGUAGAGCAACGGCCUUACAAGCCGUAGGUCACAGGUUCGACCCCUGUUUCACCCACCA
rnacentral:tRNA from 1 species